UCUAUUCUUAUUGAAACCCUUUUAUUAUCUUCUGACACUCUAUUCCUCCCUAUCGUCCUUUCCCAUCUCUAUCUUCUUCUCCCUUCUGAUGCAAAUUUAUUCUUCUCCAUGGUAGACGCGUUUUCGAAUAUGACUUUUUGUUGUUGUUCUUUCAAGAAUUAUGGAACGGGGGAUUCGAUUUGCUGUGGUUGAAACCAAUCUUCUCAAUGUUGUUCAAUGUUGAUGAUUUAGGAUUUUAGGGUUUAUAUGCUUUGUUGAUUGGGGGUUUUCUUACGGAAUUGGUUGAUGAUAAAUAAAUUUGGAUUAUAGCAGCAACUAUCUAUUUGUAGUAUUCUUAAAUGGUUAUUACACGUAAAUCAAUUUACCGGGUUAUUCUUCUCCAUGGUAGAUGCGUUUUUGAAUCUUACUUUUUGUUGUUGUUCUUUCAUGAACUAUGGAACGGGGGAUUCGAAAUUAUUGGGUUGUUUAAUUUUUAUGUGACAUGCAAAAAAUGUUUGUGUUAUAUUUUGACCGUGUUGUUGUUGUUGGGGUGUUUUUGUUUACAGAAACAAGCUGUGAAGAAGGAUGUGUAUCAGGUGUUUGCUGAGAAGGUGAAAGACCAUAAGGAGUUGGUUUCGAGAUGGGCUGUUCUACAAGAGACACGGGUUGAGUAUUUCAGAGGGAAGGAUUUUGUUAUGGAUGAUUUAUGGGUGUUGGUUGCAUUAGACGAUGAUUAUUAUCCUGAAAGAGGUUCGGUUUCAAAAAGUAAACGGGGUUGCAGAAUGAUGUUUUUUCAAACUUAAGGCUGGAAUAAAAGUGGGUUUCUUGUCAUUUUCAUUAGUUUAUUUCAUAAUAAAGGUACAAACGACCAGUCUUAAUGAUUAUGCUCCAAAUUUUCAGUUUACAAUUUUCUGAAAAUACUUUAGUCAUUAUUGUGCUUGCGACUCAAAAUUGGUGUAACCAUUACCAUUAAGUAAGCAGCAGAGUUAAUACUUGACAAAUUUCCAAAGUCGUCAAAUUCUAAUGUUAAAUGUCAAUGGAAGUGGUAUGCAAGGUUCUUCCAUACAAUAUUUAUUUUGCGAUACACUAUUUAGCAUAACUCUUUAGUGCAAAGUGUUGUUGCUAUGGUUUUUACGUACACUUACAUCGAUUCGUGUAUAAGACAAAUUGGUUGAGAUAACUGGUAAAAAUCCCCUGAGGUAAGUGUUAGAGUGAGACUGUUAGGCUAAUUUAAUCCAUGAAUUUUCAAUAAUUUUGCAAGCGAAAUUGCAGAUUCUAGGCAAUUAUGUUGAUAUUUUAAUGUAUAGAUAUAUACUUUUUCUGCUGCUAAUAUCAUCAGCUUUAUCACAAUACAUGUUUUAUGCUCAUGAUUUUGGUUUUCACUGAACUGAGAUUGCAAAGGGUGUCAAACCUCUCUGAAAGUAAACAUCAAAGGAUGUUUAUCAACUCGCUCGGGUCCUCAUCGAGUAUGAUCAGGAGAAGUACAGUUCGGUUAAAAGAAAUAUGGAACCAUCACUAAUCUUUUGUAUAUUGGCAUACCUUUUGAAAUAAUUUAAUUAGCUCUUGGUCUAAAUAUUUGGGAACUGGCUAAAGCAGUGUUUUUGGAAGAUCUUAAUGAACAUAUGGUGAGUCACUACUGUUGUUGCAGGAUUCCAGGGACUUUGAAGUUGUUGUUAUCAUGGAGAUUGAUGUUGAAUGCCUGAGCUAAUUGACUAUUCAUGCUGCAGCAAUUUUCCAAUUCAGCCAAUAAUCAGAUAAGGUAUUUUACAUGUAGCAAACCAAUGUCGGGUUCACUAGGUCAUGAGUUUCAAGAAGCCAAAAAUUUUGCAUCAUAGGAAAUGUUUUUGCCAUUGGAGAAUCGAGGGCUUUAACAGGUGCGGGAAAGUUUGGCUACUUGAAGAUUCGUCGGCGGGAUACAAAAAACUAUUACCAAUUUCAUUACUUUAGGAGAAGCCAAUAGGAAAAAGAAUUCCUUUUCAGAUGUUACAGAUAAUGACUUUCUCAGUGAUCCAGCAACUGAUUUGGAUAAGUCUUUCGUCGGUACGCCUUAAAUGCCUGAAUCAAGCAAAUAACCCCAGAUAAUCAUCGGUACGUCUAAUUCGGUAAGUCUUUCGUCGGUACGUCUGAUUCGGUAAGUAUUUCGUCGGUACGUCAUACCUAUUCAAUUUCUCAUUCAGAUUAAGUGUGGUAGUUACAUAUUAAAUAGAAUGUUGAUGAGGCAAUUGCAUAUGAUGAGUGUGAAGUAAUAAGAAUUGUUAUACCUUCUUCUGUAUGGUUGUUAUUUUAACCUGAGCUAUUUCUAAAAUGAUGGAAGAGGAAGAGGUCCUACUCAUCUUGCUAUAUUAUCUCAGCCAUCAGAUACAAUUCACGACUCAUUUUGUGUAACAAUUCAAGGUGAAAUUAUCGAACAAUCAUUCGGAGAGGAGCAUUUGUGCUUUAGAACACUUAAGCAUUUCACUUCAAAAGUUCAUUCGGAGAGGUCCUAUUUGAUGCCAAUGAAGAUUAGUUUUUGCCGAGGGGGAUAACACUUAUGUCAUCAAUGGUUUUGAAUGCGAUUUUGUUUUGAUACUUUUAAGAUCUUUUGAAUUUUUUCUAUUAGAAUUUUGAGUGUGCUCGAAUGUACAAUUAUAACAUACAUAAUUAUUUUCUUGGCUGAUAUGGUUGAGUUUUAUCUGUAAAUUAGUUUAGUAUGUUUUUGUUUAUUAUCUUACAUUCAAUGCUAAAUAUCUAAUUUUAUGAAUAAAUGAUUGAUGAUAAGUUGCUAACUUUUGUCUGCUUCAAGGUGUUGAAUCUAACUCCAUUGCUAUUCCACAUUUAACAACAAAUUAUAACAAUAG